ACAGCAGCACUGCAGCUGAGUCAGCCAAUGGGUGCCCUUCUUCUGUUAAAAUCUUUUAGGUCUUGGUUUGAUUUCAGUUAUGUCAGGUAGAGAUUAAAGGUAUAAAAAGGGUGUGAUUUCUACAAUAAAGCAAUCUCCUUUGGAUGCAUAAGCUUUGCUCCCCAUUUCAGCAUGAACAGUGUUUUAAGCCUUUAAAUGAGCUCUCUGCCCCAGCUGGGUCCCUACUGUGGCAAAACCUGGAGUGUCUGCCUGCCUGGACAUGUGAGGAGAAUGCCCUGAAAUCCCUGGCCUGGUGUCUAACAAGCUUGAGCCUGCAGUCUGUUUUCUGCAGAUCCUUGAUGAAAAUGGACUCAUCCUGGUUCUGAGCACUUCUUGAAUGCACUGAAGCCCCACUCAACUAAAUACAUACAAUAGAAGCAUGUCUAAAUCUAAGAGCUAUGUUCUCUAAAUUUCUAGAUCUGAGAAUAAAAUCACAACAGGAGGCCUGAUUCAAAGCAGCAAACUGCAAUGCAGCAGAUGGGAUUUCCAAGAGUAUUGCCCUGUCCUCACUUAUGUUGGAGUCAAUGAGAGUUUUCACAUCGAUAUUUAUGGGAAAGAGAAUCCCAUGGAACACGUGGAGUCCCUCUGUCAGGAUAUCUCUCACCAGCCUGGAAUCCUGGAGUGAGGCUUCAUCUGUGACCAGAUGCCUUUGAAAUGGUGAAACUUUGGAAUGGUGUGGAUGGUACAUCUCAGCCCUAGACAGAUGUCUAAAAUCACAGAGAAGAAUCACACUCUGGAGGUGCUAGACUGUCUGUCGACUUUCAAGUGAAUCCAGAUGAGCAGCUGGAACAAGAUACUUCAUUCUGGAUAGCUAAAAUUAGGUGAUAUGUAUCUAUACCAAUUACCUACAAAUUCUUGCUGCCAGCAUGGCUUACAAGGACUAGUUUAGAUUAUGUGUACUUGUCAGGGAGCAAUGAGUGAAAUUUGUUUUGACAUUGUUUCACUCUAAUGCGGCAGAAGAUGGUAAGAAUAUGCAAGCACAGGGUCCUUCUGCAUAAUUUGUAUAAUGAUGAUGAUUAUGGUACUGGCAACAUUUGUGAGAAAGAGAGCAAUUGACAGAGGAUGGGAAGAAGCACAAGCAAAUAAACUAACACAAUGAUCUAAUCUCACCAGAAAAAAAACAGAGCCAAAUUUGACCCAAGGAUUGCAAUUGCAAAUAGGCGUUAAUAGGAUUCCUCAGUGAAUGUAGCAGAACAUAAUUUAAUCUGAAGUGCACUUGAGAAAUUAGAAAUGCCUCCCUUUUGCUGCUUUUUGUCAUGGCAGAGGUCUGGAUAAGUGUUAGGUUUUACUGUAAAUUAACAAGAUUAGCAUGUCUGCAAUUUGUCUACAAAUAGUCGUCAUCUGUUUAAUUUCCCUCAGUGCUGUCACCCUCCAUUUUAUCCUCUUGAGAUGCUUCAAGGGGAAGAGAAUCGUCAGGGCACAAAAAUUAUUUAAAUUUCAUUUUAAAAGACCAUCUUGGUUUCUUAGGCUGUCUUCUAAUCAGGCUAACCAUCUUGAAGAGUAAAUACAGAAUUAAUCAAGCUUGUGCUUUCAUGUUCACAAAAACUCCUGAAAUUCAUAGCAUACACUGCAAAGGGGUUAAACUCAUAAUAUUAUAGAACUUUGUUAAAAUGACCUAUGUCUUGUUUUCUGGAGAAAGGUUGAAUAAGUGAACAGGGUACAUAAGCAAUCAUUGUGUCAAGUACUUCUCUAAGAGCAGCUAAUUAGAUCCACUUCUAUUCAAAGAUAACAGGAAUUACAUUGGAAAAGGCUUUAAAAUAAAUGGAACUUUUUCUUCAGUUAAAGAAUAUUGAGGUUAUCAUUGGUGUAAUUUCGAAAAGUCCUUUCAUUGCUGUUACUCAGAAAUUAAAGUGAAAUCUGUUCUUAACCACUCCUUCCACUAAGCUUCCCCAAAAUGACUUUCACCCUCAACACUUUCAGAUCCAUUUGGCAGUUUAAAAAAAUAAAGAAAAAAAAGAGGAGGUCCAGUGGAAAUUGCCAACCUUUGCAGGGUCUAACCUCAGCUUCUUCUUCCUUGAGGCUCAAAUAGCAUUUCUUCCUCUCCACAGACAAAAGUAUCAUAUAGUGAGCAAAAAAUGCUUUUCACCAUAUGAUUAAUCCCAAAGUGCUUAUAUGGACUCAUCAUGUUUUAUGCCAUGCAGGCACAAAGGGAUACACAGCACAUUAUUAUUACAAAUGUGGCUCUAUUAUAUAUGUUUCAUUUGCAGAUUAUGCUCUUGCACAUGAACCCUUUCAACUCUCAAACUGUACAGCACAAGGGCUUACACAAUACCAAGUAAUUUUUGGCAGCUGCUGCUUAGUCUUACAUUGCUGCCAGAUCUCUGGCAGAAUGAGCUGAAUCCCUGUCUGGUAUACAACCAGCACAAGGUCCUCAUUAUACUGGAAUUUAAUACUCAGGGCCAGAAGGCUCUACACACAAUGCAAACCCAGAUUCACUCCCUUGCCUUUUGAGUGAACAACUGUUAAAUACGUGGUGCCUUACAAAGCUGCCAUAAUUAAAUGGAUAACUAUUUAUAUACACAUUCAGAUCCAAUGUAAAUAAAUAAGAAUUAGGAAAUUAAUGGGAUAAAUAUUAGAAGUUAAAUAUGCUAGAAUACAUGCAUUUAUGACACCAAGGAACAAUGACAACUGGCACUGAAAUCUAUGUAGGGCAGUUAUGACAUGCAGAAUGUCAAAGGCAGCAUGAAGUCUG